UGUACAAAAGCCACUGGGUUCAAGAAAAUGAAGAAAUAAAUCAAAAUUUUCUGAGAGAUCCUGAAUUUCAACUUAAGCUAGGAGAUACAGCAGCUAAAGUGAUUCUGCCUAUAUUUUUUCUUCUCUUCUCAAUCGUUUACUGGGCAUAUGGACUAAACUUCUACUUUAAAAAUGGAUACCUGUUGUAAACUAUUGUAUUAAAUAAAUAAUUUAAACAG